GCCCGGCUAGCUCAAUCGGUAGAGCGUGAGACUCUUAAGUUUCCCGUUCCCCUUCGAACGAUUGCUCAGAAUAAUCUCAAGGUUGUGGGUUCGACCCCCACGUCGGGCU